rnacentral:lncRNA from 1 species
AGCAUGGUCAGCCUCCUCGAGGUUGCGAACCGCCCCUUGGAGAGCUACAUGAAGCAGAACGGCCUGGUGAGCCUGGCGGCGGAGCAGGGGAGCAGCUCCGGCACGGCCACAGUCCCAUCUCAACCCGCUCCGAUGGAGAGCGAAGAGCGGCCCUCCGACGAGGGGCGUGCCGUGCCGGUGGAGCAGGAGCGGGAGCCCACCGAUAACAUGGCCGUCGAUGAGGCAGCCGGUGAGAACCAGGGCCAUGCUGCCAGUGCCAGUGACAUCGCUGCUGCCUGACCUGAGCUUGUUGACCGCGCGCCUGUGUUAGUGGGUGGGUGUUUGUAACUUGUUUGUGUGUGUGUAUGAUCGGCUUACCCCUUUUUUCCCCAAGGAACAGCUGGUGCGUUUUGAUGUGAAGAUCAAAAUGAUAGGGUUUCCUCGUGUUGGUGUAACAUACGUGUACAGGGCUGUGCAACCUCGUUUGUACUAAAGUUGUAAGCUCGGUUGGUAUGAAAGGCAGCUUGGUGGCUGGCUGGUUGGUGUUGUACCCCACGCCUAAGAGCAACUCCAACGGGCUGACCCAGACAUCGAUUUUAUUCGCUUUUUGUCUGUUUGGGUCGCCCGUUCGUAUCUGCUUUUUUGAUUGGGUCGGCCGAUGCGCCCAACCUGGGCAGACACAUUUUUGACAUCUCCGCGUGUCAUUCAGUCAAACACCCGGUGUGCGAGCUCCUGUGGGCGCUUGCCGCGUCCGCCGCCCGCCCUGCUCGCCGCCCGCCGCUCUCCCCAUGCCGCAGCUCACCGCGCCCGCCCCGCGGCUCUCCUCCGGCCGCCGCUCGCAGCGCCGGUGCCGCAGCGAGCUCGCACCCCGCCCCCCGCAGCAGCUCGUCGGUCUGCAGCAGCUCUCGCCCCAGCCGCGCCCCGCACGCCCCUCGCACUGCGCGCCUACAACAGCUCGCGCCCCGCCCAUCCCCUGUAGCAGCUCGCCGGGGCUGCAGCAGCUCACGCCCCCAGAUCAGGGACCUACAAGAAGUAUGGAGGUUAUUUUCCCUAGUCCCCAAUAUCCUAUAUAUGUGUAAUUGUGAUGUUUCCUAAUUCCAACUGAACAUCCGCAGGGCAGCGACUUCAUUAAUGGGCAUCAUAGAGACGCUUGUGGUGAGAAUUUUAAAUCCUCAAUCCUUUCUGGUCCUGAACUCAGAGUGAUGAAGCCUCACCUUAGAAAGUCGGCACAAAUUGAUAGUGCUCCUGGUGUGAAUUGGAAGCCCAAAUUUGAUGGCAAGUUUCAACCUGAUCUGAUUCUAAAUAUUACUAGUACUUAUGUCAAUGCAUGGAAUAAAAAUGACACAUCCAAUAAUUCAAUUAAAUAUCAUCGUCGGUAGCCUGUUGGCUUACAUGGUUGAGCUGCAUGGCUUUUUCCAAUGGGACUAAAUACACUGUGAGUUAACCCUGAUGACAUUUUUCAGGUCCAGCAGAGAUGGAUAUUCCCACUUCUUUUGCCUCGAAGUACAUUUCAACCAAACAAUAUAUUGGAAAAUGAACCAGAAGAAUAUUCAGGAGCAAAGGUUAGCUUAGUUUUUUAUCUCUAUGUUUGAAAAUUAUCUAGAAACAUGAGGGCAGGGGGGAACUGAAAGACACUCGUCUGCUAACUAACUUCGCUUUCUGAGUGAUUAGCCUUCAAGCAUUGAUCCUCAUGUCUUGUGCCUGAAAAACCUAAUGCUUAGUUUAUUUGUGCCAUGACAACGGAUUGUUGGACCAUAUGGCUGAUAUUUAUGAUGAUGAAAUGAGAUGCUCUUGAAGCAUAAGCACUGAAGUCAAUAGUUGGUUGUCUGAGUUUGAGCAGGCCAGUGCCUUCUAAACUGCAGUCUGCAGUUGAAACCUUGUCAAGCUAAAUCACUUGAAACAAUGACGAUUCAUCAGCGGGGAGGCCGGGAGGAGGAUCCGUUGGCGGGGAGGAGCUCGGUGGACCCAUGACUCCAUGCCCUCUGCUCGGCCUUUGUCUUCUAUCGUAGUUGUACUAGCCCAUCAUUAUAACGAUAAAGCUAAUUUUUUGAGGAAAUGCUUUCCCCACUCUAAUAAUAAAAAGUGUUUUGUACACUCUACAACGCCUAUGAAGCUGACUUAAAACUAGAUGCCUCAAGAAUGCACAUGCCGGACGCGCGCACAUUACUCAUUACCCACCUGAAAAAAGGUGUGAUAUCAAUUACCCAACUUCAUUGGAGUUUUCAAGCAAUCAGUCUAAUUCAUCAUAAGAAAUGUUGCAAAGAAAAGUCUGCAAACAUGGGAUGAAAUAAUCUUCAGGUAAUGGACAUAUAACAACAUAUACGUACAUACAUACCAUGUACAUGAUAUAUCCCAUUUAGUCUCAUUGUCCUAUCAAGCACUUAUCUCCUCGAACAAAGAAAAUAUCAUGUGCUGGGGUUUGUAUUUGGGUUGGGGGCUUCAUUUCGAUAUGCAAACAUGAUUUUCGGGAGGAAGAAUACAUAGUGAGGCAUUUUUUAGGGAUACACAACAAGGCAGCUGGUUGGUGACGGAGGGAUUACUCGUAGAGUGAAAGUGCAACUAAUUCCUGGGUGGUUUUGGUAAUUCAUAACAACAUAUAGCUCAUUGAACUAAUAUCCAUUUAAGUUGAUUAUUUCAGAAAGUUCAAUGAUUGGCAAUGACAUGGACCAGAGAUGUGGACCCCUCAAAAUGCUAAGGACAAAGAUUGGCAAAAGCUCAAGACUAUUCAUUUCUAUUUUAGUGAUCCAAGAUCACAUUGAGUCCAUAGGAAAAGCCAAUACUAUUAAAAGGGGAUGAGGUGUUGCUUAAUGGUCUACUUGCUCAAAAUGCUUAGUGAUAUGCUCCAAAGCCCUCAACCACUUUCUCAAAUCCAAAUAUGUCCUAAACCUAUAGUCAAACUCGGCCCCACCGAUUUGAUUCAUCCGGUGCCAUCGAGUUCUUUUGAAAUAACCAUAGCCAGAAACCCUAAUCAGUUCGGUCUCACCGAGAUGGGAUUGCAAACUCCCUGUUUCCCUUCAUAACGUUUCGGUCCUACCAAGAUGAGCGAUUGGUCCCACCGAGUUCACAAUGCAAACUCUCUGUUUCUCUUUUGUAACGUUUCGGUAUCACCGAAAGGAGCGAUAGGUCCCACCGAGUUUGCCUGACUAACUCUCUAUUUGCUCAUUGCUGAAAUCAGUCCCACCGAGUUCAACACACCAUCUAUUACCUUUUGGAGAGUGGUAUCUCCUAGAUCGGUUAGGUGUCACUUGGGAGCCUCCAUCAAGAUUGUGGAGUUGAACCAAGGAGUUUGUAAGGGCAAGGAGAUCACCUACUUCGUGAAGAUCUACCCAAGUGAGGCAUGUCCUUCGUGGGUGAUGGCCAUGGUGGGAUAGACAAGGUUGCUUCUUCGUGGACCCUUCAUGGGUGGAGCCUCCGUGGACUCGCGCAGCUGUUACCCUUCGUGGGUUGAAGUCUCCAUCAACGUGGAUGUAUAAUAGCACCACCUAUCGGAACCACGCCAAAAACCUCCAUGUCUACAUUGAGUUUGCCUUCUCCAAACCCUUCCCUUUACCUCCAUAUGCAAUAUUUUACAUUCUGCUGCCACACUCUUAGAAUUGCAUGUGUAGGUUGAUUGCUUGACUUGUGCUAUAAGUUGCUAAAAUCUGCCAAGACUUAAAAUUGGGAAAAGGCUAGAUUUCUAUUUGGUCAAGUAGUCUAAUCACCCCCUCUAGACCUACUUUCGAUCCUACAAGUGGUAUUAGAGCUCUGGUCUCCAUUUGCCUUGAUUUCCAUAGCUUUGGUGAUCAUAGCCUUGGUUUCACAACCUAGGAGAGUAUGGCGUCUAGUGAGGGAAAUUACCACCUUAGAGGUCCUUACUUUGAUGGCACUAAUUUUGCUAGUUGGAAGCAUAAGAUGAAAAUGCAUAUUCUUGGACAUAACCCCGCUGUUUCGGCUAUUGUAUGUAUUAGUUUGCAAGGUGAAUUCUUUAAAGAUGGAAGAGAACCGAAUCAUGAAGCUACCGGAAGAAUUGAAGAUGUUGCAAUACAACGCUCAAGCUUGCGAUAUCCUCUUCAACGGAUUGUGCCCCAAAGAAUUCAACAAAAUCAGCCGGCUUGAGAAUGCAAAGGAAAUUUGGGAUACUUUGGUUGAUAUGCACGAAUGUACCGAGUCCGUCAAGGAAUCCAAAUUGGAUGCACUUCAAAGUCAACUUGACAAGUUCAAAAUGAAGGAUGGUGAAGGUGUCGCUGAAAUGUACUCUAGGCUUGAUCUCAUCACAAAUGAGAUUGCCGCUUAGGAAGUGAAGAGAUGUGAUAACCCACAAGUAUAUGGGAUCGCAACAGUUUUAGAGGGUAGAGUAUUCAACCCAAAUUUAUAGAUUCGACACAAGGGGAGCCAAAGAAUAUUUGCAAGUAUUAGCAGCUGAGUUGUCAAUUCAACCACACUUGGAGAUUAAUUAUCUGCAGCAAAGUGAUCAGUAGCAAAGUAGUAUGAUAGUUUUGAUAAUAGUAGUAGCAACAAUAGUGACGGUAACAGUCAUAGCAAUAGUUUUGUAGCAAUAAUGAUAACAGUAGCAGCAGUAGUAACUUAGCAAGAACAAUAAUAGGUAAAUUCGUAGGCAUUCGAUCGGUGAUUCGUUGGAUGAUAUUCAUCAUGAGACAAUCAUAACCUAGGGCGAUACAACACUAGCUCCAGUUCAUAAAUAUAAUGUAGGCAUGUAUUCCGUAUAUAGUCAUACAUGCUUAUGGAAAGAACUUGUAUGACAUCUUUUGUCCUACCCUCUCAUGGCAGCGGGGUCCUAUUGGAAACUAAGGGAUAUUAAGGCCUCCUUUUAGUAGAGUACGGGAACAAAGCAUUAGCACAUGGUGAAUACAUGAACUCCUCAAACUACGGUCAUCAUCGGGAGUGAUCCCGACUAUUGUCACUCCGGGGUUGCCGGAUCAUAACACGUAGUAUGUGACUAUAACUUGCAAGAUCGGAUCUAGAACAUGGAUAUAAUGGUGAUAACAUAAACAGUUAAGAUCUGAAAUCAUGGCACCCGGGCCCAAAGUGACAAGCAUUAAGCAUGGCAAAGUCAUAGCAACACCAAUCUCAGAACAUAAUGGAUACUAGAUUAGGCCCUAACAAAACUAACUCGAUUACAUGAUGAAUCUCAUCCAAAUCCUCAUCGACCAGCGAGCCUACGAAGGAAUUACUCACUCCUGGUGGGGAGCAUCAUGGAAUUGACGAUGGAGAAGUGUUGGUGAUGAUGAAGAUCGAAGAUCCCCCUCUCCGGAGCCCCAAACGAACUCUAGAUCUGGCCUCCCGAUGAAGAACAGGAGACGGCGGUGGCUCCGUCUCGUGAAAUGCGAUAAUUAUUUCUCCCUGAUUUUUUCUGGAAAAAUAGGAUUUUAUAGCGUCGGUUUCAGGGUCUACGGGGCCACUAGGUGGGGACAACCCACCUGGGCGCGCCUGGAGGGGGUGGCGCGCCCUGGUGGGUUGUGCCCACCCAGGUGCCCCCUCCGGUGGUUCUUGGCUCCAGAUAUUUUCUUUUAUUAUAUAAAAAAUCCUUGCAAAGUUUUGUUCCAUUCCGAGAACUUUUAUUUCUACACAAAAACAACACCAUGGUAGUUCUGCUGAAAACAACGUCAGUCCGGGUUAGUUUCAUUCAAAUCAUGCAAAUUAGAGUCCAAAACAAGAGGAAAAUGUUGGUGAACGUAGUAAUUUCAAAAAAAUUCCUACGCACACACAAGAUCAUGGUGAUGCAUAGCAACAGGAGGGGAGAGUGUUGUCCAUGUACCCUCAUAGACCGAAAGCGGAAGCGUUAGCACAACGCGGUUGAUGUAGUCGUACGUCUUCACGAUCCGACUGAUCAAGUACCAGACGUACGACACCUCUGAGUUUAGCACACGUUCAGCUCGAUGACGUCCCACGAACUCAGAUCCAGCAGAGCUUUGUGGGAGAGUUCCUUCCGCACGACGGCGUGAUGACGGUGUUGAUGAUGCUACCGACGCAGGGCUUCGCCUAAGCACCGCUACGAUAUUACCGUGGUGGAAUAUGGUGGAGGGGGGCACCGCACACGGCUAAGAGAUCAAGAGAUCGAUUGUUGUCUCUAGAGGUGCCCCUUGCCCUCGUAUAUAAAGGAUCAAGGGGGAAGGGGCGGUCGGCCAGGAGGAGGCACGCAAGAGAGGAGUCCUACUCCCACCGGGAGUAGGACUCCAUCUUUUCCUAGUUGGGGUAGGAGGGGGAAAGGAAGGGAGAGAGGAGAGGAAGGAAAGGGGGGGGGGGCGCCGCCCCCCUCCUUGUCCUAUUCGGACUAGAGGGGGAGGGGCGUGCGGCCUGCCCUGGCCGCCCCUCCUCUUCUCAACUAGGGCCCAUGAGGCCCAAUAAACCCCCCGGGGGGUUCCGGUAACCCCCCGGUACUCCGGUAUAUGCCCGAAACCAUCCAAAACCAUUCCGGUGUCCGAACAUAGUCAUCCAAUAUAUCGAUCUUUACGUAUCGACCAUUUCGAGACUCCUCGUCAUGUCCAUGAUCAUAUCCGGGACUCCGAACUACCUUCGGUACAUCAAAACACAAAAACUCAUAAUACCGAUCGUCACCGAACUUUAAGCGUGCGGACCCUACGGGUUCGAGAACUAUGUAGACAUGAACGAGACACGUCUCCAGCCAAUAACUAAUAGCAGAACCUGGAUGCUCAUAUUGGCUCCUACAUAUUCAACGAAGAUUUUUAUCGGUCAAACCGCAUAACAACAAACGUUGUUCCCUUUAUCAUCGGUAUGUUACUUGCCCGAGAUUCGAUCGUUGGUAUCUCAAUACCUAGUUCAAUCUCAUUACCGGCAAGUCUCUUUACUCGUUACGUAAUGCAUCAUCCCACAACUAACUAACUCAUUAGCUACAUUGCUUGCAAGGCUUAUAGUGAUGUGCAUUACCGAGAGGGCCCAGAGAUACCUCUCCGACAAUCGGAGUGACAAAUCCUAAUCUCGAAAUACGCCAACUCAACAUGUACCUUCGGAGACACCUGUAGAGCUCCUUUAUAAUCACCCAGUUACGUUGUGACGUUUGGUAGAACACAAAGUGUUCCUCCGGUAAACGGGAGUUGCAUAAUCUCAUAGUCAUAGGAACAUGUAUAAGUCAUGAAGAAAGCAAUAGCAACAUACUAAACGAUCAAGUGCUAAGCUAACGGAAUGGGUCAAGUCAAUCACAUCAUUCUCCUAAUGAUGUGAUCCCGUUAAUCAAAUGAAAACUCAUGUCUAUGGCUAGGAAACACAACCAUCUUUGAUCAACGAGCUAGUCAAGUAGAGGCAUACUAGUGACACUAUCUUUGUCUAUGUAUUCACACAUGUAUUAUGUUUCCGGUUAAUACAAUUCUAGCAUGAAUAAUAAACAUUUAUCAUGAUAUGAGGAAAUAAAUAAUAACUUUAUUAUUGCCUCUAGGGCAUAUUUCCUUUAGUCUCCCACUUGUACUAGAGUCAAUAAUCUAGAUUACACAGUAAUGAUUCUAACACCCAUGGAGCCUUGGUGUUGAUCAUGUUUUGCUCGUGGAAGAGGCUUAGUCAACGGGUCUGCAACAUUCAUAUCCGUAUGUAUCUUGCAAAUCUCUAUGUCUCCCACCUGGACUUGGUCCCGGAUGGAAUUGAAGCGUCUCUUGAUGUGCUUGGUCCUCUUGUGAAAUCUGGAUUCCUUUGCCAAGACAAUUGCACCAGUAUUGUCACAAAAGAUUUUCAUUGGUCCUAAUGCACUAGGUAUGACACCUAGAUCGGAUAUGAACUCCUUCAUCCAGACUCCUUCAUUUGCUGCUUUCGAAACAACUAUAUACUCCGCUUCACAUGUAGAUCCUGCCACGACGCUUUGUUUAGAACUGCACCAACUAACAGCUCCACUGUUCAAUAUAAACACGUAUCCGGUUUGCGAUUUAGAAUCAUCCGGAUCAGUGUCAAAGCUUGCAUCGACGUAACCAUUUACGACUAGCUCUUUGUCACCUCCAUAAACGAGAAACAUAUCCUUAAUCCUUUUCAGGUAUUUCAGGAUAUUCUUGACCGAUGUCCAGUGAUCCACUCCUGGAUUACUUUGGUACCUCCCUGCUAAGCUAAUAGCUAGGCACACAUCAGGUCUGGUACACAACAUUGCAUACAUGAUAGAGCCUAUGGCUGAAGCAUAGGGAACAUCUUUCAUUUUCUCUCUAUCUUCUGUAGUGGUCAGGCAUUGAGUCUGACUCAACUUCACACCUUGUAAUACAACCAAGAACCCUUUCUUUGCUUGAUCCAUUUUGAACUUUUUCAAAACUUUAUCAAGGUAUGUGCUUUGUGAAAGUCCAAUUAAGCGUCUUGAUCUAUCUCUAUAGAUCUUGAUGCCCAAUAUAUAAGCAGCUUCACCGAGGUCUUUCAUUGAAAAACUUUUAUUCAAGUAUCCUUUUAUGCUAUCCAAAAAUUCUAUAUCAUUUCAAUUCAACAAUAUGUCGUCUACAUAUAAUAUCAGAAAUGCUACAGAGCUCCCACUCACUUUCUUGUAAAUACAUGCUUCUCCAAAAGUCUAUAUAAAACCAUAUGCUUUGAUCACACUAUCAAAGUGUUUAUUCCAACUCCGAGAGGCUUGCACCAUUCCAUAAAUGGAUCACUGGAGCUUGCACACUUUGUUAGCACCUUUUGGAUCGACAAAACCUUCUGGUUGCAUCAUAUACAACAAUUUUUCUAGAAAUCCGUUCAGGAAUGCAGUUUUGACAUCCAUUUGCCAUAUUUCAUAAUCAUAAAAUGUGGUAAUUGCUAACGUGAUUCUGAUAGACUUAAGCAUCACUACGGGUGAGAAAGUCUCAUUGUAGUCAACCCCUUGAACUUGUCGAAAACAUUUCACAACAAGUCGAGCUUUGUAGACAGUAACAUUACCAUCAGCGUUAGUCUUCUUCUUGAAGAUCUAUUUAUUCUCGAUGGCUUGCCGAUCAUCAGGCAAGUCAACCAAAGUCCAUACUUUGUUCUCAUACAUGGAUCCCAUCUCAGAUUUCAUGGCCUCAAGCCAUUUUGCGGAAUCUGGGCUCAUCAUCGCUUCCUCAUAGUUCGUAGGUUCGCCAUGGUCAAGUAACAUGACUUCCAGAAUAGGAUUACCGUACCACUCUGGUGUGGAUCUUACUCUGGUUGACCUACGAGGUUCGGUAGUAACAUGAUCUGAAGUUUCAUGAUCAAUAUCAUUAGCUUCCUCACUAAUUGGUGGAGGCGUCACAGGAACCGGUUUCUGUGAUGAACUACUUUCCAAUAAGGGAGCAUGUACAAUUACCUCAUCAAGUUCUACUUUCCUCCCACUCACUUCUUUCGAGAGAAACUCCUUCUCUAGAAAGGAUUCAAAUUUAGUAACAAAAGUCUUGCCUUCGGAUCUGUGAUAGAAGGCAUACCCAAUAGUCUCCUUUGGGUAUCCUAUGUAGACACAUUUCUCUGAUUUGGGUUCAAGCUUAUCAGGUUGAAGUUUCUUCACAUAAGCAUCACAACCCCAAACUUUAAGAAACGACAACUUUGGUUUCUUGCCAAACCACAAUUCAUAAGGCGUCGUCUCAACGGAUUUUGAUGGUGCCCUAUUUAACGUGAAUGCAUCCGUCUCUAAAGCAUAACCCCAAAAUGAUAGCGAUAAAUUAGUAAGAGACAUCAUUGAUCGCACCAUAUCUAGUAAAGUACGUUUAUGACGUUUGGACACACCAUUACGUUGUGGUGUUUCGGGUGGUGUGAGUUGUGAAACUAUUCCACAUUGUUUCAAAUGUAGACCAAAUCGUAACUCAAAUAUUCUCCUCCACAAUCAGAUCGUAGAAAUUUUAUUUUCUUGUUACGAUGAUUUUCCACUUCACUCUGAAAUUCUUUGAACUUUUCAAAUGUUUCAGACUUAUGCUUCAUUAAGUAGAUAUACUCAUAUCUUCUCAAAUCAUCAGUGAAGAUGAGAAAAUAAUGAUAACCGCCGCGAGCUUCAAUGUUCAUUGGACCACAUACAUCAGUAUGUAUGAUUUCUAAUAAAUCUGUUGCUCGCUCCAUAGUUCCGGAGAACGGCGUUUUAGUAAUCUUGCCCAUGAGGCACGGUUCACAGGUACCAAGUGAUUCAUAAUCAAGUGAUUCCAAAAGUCCAUCAUUAUGGAGUUUCUUCAUGCGCUUUACACCAAUAUGACCCAAAUGACAGUGCCACAAAUAAGUUGCACUAUCAUUAUCAACUCUGCAUCUUUUGGCUUCAACAUCAUGAAUAUGUGUAUCACUACUAUCGAGAUUCAAUAAAAAUAGACCACUCUUCAAGGCUGCAUGACCAUAAAAGAUAUUACUCAUAUAAAUAGAACAACCAUUAUUCUCUGAUUUAAAUGAAUAACCAUCUUGCAUCAAACAAGAUCCAGAUAUAAUGUUCAUGCUUAACUCUGGCACCAAAUAACAAUUGUUCAGGUCUAAAGCUAAUCCCGAAGGUAGAUGUAGAGGUAGCAUGCCGACCGCGAUAACAUCGACUUUGGAACCAUUUCCCACGCGCAUCGUCAACUCGUCCUUAGCCAAUCUUUGCUUAAUCCAUAGUCCUUGUUUCGAGUUGCAAAUAUUAGCAACAGAACCAGUAUCAAAUACCCAGGUGCUACUGCAAGCAUUAGUAAGGUACACAUCAAUAACAUGUAUAUCACAUAUACCUUUGUUCACCUUGCCAUCCUUCUUAUCUGCCAAAUACUUGGGGCAGUUUCGCUUCCAGUGACCAGUCCCUUUGCAGUAGAAGCACUCAGUCUCAGGUUUAGGUCUAGACUUAGGUUUCUUCUCUUGAGCGACAACUUGUUUGCCGUUCUUCUUGAAGUUCCCCUUCUUCUUCCCUUUACCUUUUUUCUUGAAACUGGUGGUCUUGUUGACCAUCAACACUUGAUGCUCCUUUUUGAUUUCUACCUCCGCAACUUUUAGCAUUGCGAAGAGCUCGGGAAUAGUCUUGUUCAUCCCUUGCAUAUUAUAGUUCAUCACGAAGCUCUUGUAGCUUGGUGGCAGUGAUUGAAGAAUUAUGUCAAUGACACUAUCAUCAGGAAGAUUAACUCCCAGUUGAAUCAAGUGAUUAUUAUACCCAGACAUUUUGAGUAUAUGUUCACUGACAAAACUAUUCUCCUCCAUCUUGCAGCUAUAUAACUUAUUGGAGACUUCAUAUCUCUCAAUCCUGGCAUUUGCUUGAAAUAUUAACUUCAACUCCUGGAACAUCUCAUAUGCUCCAUGAUGUUCAAAACGUCGUUGAAGUCCCGGCUCUAAGCCAUAAAGCAUGGGCACACUGAACUAUCGAGUAGUCAUCAGCUUUGCUCUGUGAGAUGUUCUUAACAUCGUCAGUUGCAUCUGCAGCAGGCCUGGCACCCAGUGGUGCUUCCAGGACGUAAUUCUUCUAUGCAGCAAUGAGGAUAAUCCUCAAGUUAUGGACCCAGUCCGUGUAAUUGCUACCAUCAUCUUUCAACUUAGCUUUCUCAAGGAACGCAUUAAAAUUCAAUGGAACAACAACACGAGCCAUCUAUCUAGAAUAACAUAGACAAGCAAAAAUACUAUCAGGUACUAAGUUCAUGAUAAAUUAAAGUUCAAUUAAUCAUAUUACUUAAGAACUCCCACUUAGAUAGACAUCCCUCUAAUCAUCUAAGUGAUCACGUGAUCCAAAUCAACUAAACCAUGUCCGAUCAUCACGCGAGAUGGAGUAGUUUUCAAUGGUGAACAUCACUAUGUUGAUCAUAUCUAUGAUUCACGCUCGACCUUUCAGUCUCAGUGUUCCAAGGCCAUAUCUGUAUAUGCUAGGCUCGUCAAGUUUAACCUGAGUAUUCCGCGUGUGCAACUAUUUUGCACCCGUUGUAUUUGAACGUAGAGCCUAUCACACCCGAUCAUCACAUGGUGCCUCAGCACGAAGAACUUUCGCAACGGUGCAUACUCAGGGAGAACACUUAUACCUUGAAGUUUAGUGAGAGAUCAUCUUAUAAUUCUACCAUCAAUCAAAGCAAAAUAAGAUGCACAAAGGAUAAACAUCACAUGCAAUCAAUAUAAGUGAUAUGAUAUGGCCAUCAUCAUCUUGUGCUUGUGAUCACCAUCUCCAAAGCACCGUCAUGAUCACCAUCGUCACCGGCGCGACACCUUGAUCUUCAUCGUAGCAUCGUUGUCGUUUCGCCACCUAUUGCUUCUACGACUAUCGCUACCGCUUAGUGAUAAAGUAACGCAAUUACAGGGCGAUUGCAUUGCAUACAAUAAAUCGACAACCAUAUGGCUCCUGCCAGUUGCUGAUAACUUUGUUACAAAACAUGAUCAUCUCAUACAAUAAAAUUUAGCAUGAUGUCUUAACCAUAUCACAUCACAACAUGCCCUGCAAAAACAAGUUAGACGUCCUCUACUUUGUUGUUGCAAGUUUUACGUGGCUGCUACGGGCUGAGCAAGAAUCGUUCUUACCUACGCAUCAAAACCACAAUGAUAGUUUGUCAAGUUAGUGCUGUUUUAACCUUCUCAAGGACCGGGUGUAGCCACACUCAGUUCAACUAAAGUUGGAGAAACUGACACCCGCCAGCCACCUAUGUGCAAAGCACGUCGGUAGAACCAGUCUCGCGUAAGCGUACGCGUAAUGUUGGUCCGGGCCACUUCAUCCAAAAAUACCGCCGAACCAAAGUAUGACAUGCUGGUAAGCAAUAUGACCUGUAUCGCCCACAACUCACUUGUGUUCUACUCGUGCAUAUAACAUCUACGCAUAAAACCUGGCUCGGAUGCCACUGUUGGGGAACGUAGUAAUUUCAAAAAAUUUCCUACGCACACACAAGAUCAUGGUGAUGCAUAGCAACGAGAGGGGAGAGUGUUGUCCAUAUACCCUCUUAGACCGAAAGCGGAAGCGUUAGCACAACACGGUUGAUGUAGUCGUACGUCUUCACGAUCUGACCGAUCAAGUACCGAACGUACGGCACCUCCAAGUUCAGCACACGUUCAGCUCGAUGACGUCCCAUGAACUCCGAUCCAG